rnacentral:rRNA from 1 species
GACGAACGCUGGCGGCGUGCCUAAUACAUGCAAGUAGAACGCUGAAGGAGGAGCUUGCUUCUCCGGAUGAGUUGCGAACGGGUGAGUAACGCGUAGGUAACCUGCCUGGUAGCGGGGGAUAACUAUUGGAAACGAUAGCUAAUACCGCAUAACAGUAGAUGUUGCAUGACAUUUGCUUAAAAGGUGCAAUUGCACCACUACCAGAUGGACCUGCGUUGUANAGCUAGUUGGUGGGGUAACGGCUCACCAAGGCGACGAUACAUAGCCGACUGAGAGGGU